UACGAAGGGGCUAGCGUUGCUCGGAAUCACUGGCGUAAAGGGUGCGUAGGCGGGUCUUUAAGUCAGGGUGAAAUCCUGGAGCUCAACUCCAGAACUGCCUUUGAUACUGAGGAUCUUGAGUUCGGGAGAGGUGAGUGGAACUGCGAGUGUAGAGGUGAAAUUCGUAGAUAUUCGCAAGAACACCAGUGGCGAAGGCGGCUCACUGGCCCGAUACUGACGCUGAGGCACGAAAGCGUGGGAGCAAACAGG
rnacentral:rRNA from 1 species